AUGGACAGUACCUGCAAUAUUUGUGGAAUGGGAGAGGAAAACGAACACCAUGCUGUAGUCUCUUGUAUCAAGAGUAGAGCCCUAAGAACGGAGAUGAGAAAGGUCUGGAACAUCCCCAGCGAAACGCUCUUUCAUACUGGGGAGGACUGGUUACAAAAUUUAUUAGGGCUAUGCAAUAUGGAAACAAGAACAAAAGUAUUGUUGCUGCUGUGGCGUUGCUGGUUUCUUCGGGACGACUAUUUUCAUAGUACAGGGAAA
rnacentral:rRNA from 1 species